GCGGGGGUAGCAUAGUGGCUAUGCAACCGGCUGCAGACCGGUAUAGGUGAGUUCAAAUCUCACCCCCCGCU
rnacentral:tRNA from 1 species